rnacentral:rRNA from 1 species
CGAAGCAACGACGAAGAACCUUACCAGAUCUGACAUCAAUUGACCAUCUUUUAAUCGGAGAUUUUUGUCCGUUCGGGUACAAUUGAGACAGGUGGUGCAUGGUUGUCGUCAGCUCGUGUCGUGAGAUGUUGGGUUAAGUCCCGCAACGAGCGCAACCCUUGUGUUUAGUUGCAAACAGGUCAAGCUGUGCACUCUAGACAGACUGCCGUGGACAACACGGAGGAAGGUGGGGAUGACGUCAAAUCAUCAUGCCCCUUAUGAUCUGGGCUACACACGUGCUACAAUGGCCGGUACAACGGGCAGCGAAGGAGCGAUCCGGAGCGAAUCCUAAAAAGCCGGUCCCAGUUCGGAUUGCAGGCUGAAACUCGCCUACAUGAAGUUGGAGUUGCUAGUAAUCGCGAAUCAGAAUGUCGCGGUGAAUGCGUUCCCGGGUCUU